UACGUAGGGUGCAAGCGUUAAUCGGAAUUACUGGGCGUAAAGCGUGCGCAGGCGGUUCGCUGGUUCCUGUGUGAAAGCCCCGGGCUUAACCUGGGAAUGGCAUGGGAAACUGGCGGGCUGGAGUGUGGCAGAGGGGGGUGGAAUUCCGCGUGUAGCAGUGAAAUGCGUAGAGAUGCGGAGGAACACCGAUGGCGAAGGCAGCCCCCUGGGCUAACACUGACGCUCAGGCACGAAAGCGUGGGGAGCAAACAGG
rnacentral:rRNA from 1 species